ensembl:lncRNA novel transcript, antisense to EPHB1
GCUGGCAGAGAGUGACGCUGCCCGACGACUCCCGGCCGCCGAGUAUCCUCUCCGGGGUGGUGGAGAGGCUGGGAGACUUUAGCUUUUAGUGUUCAGUGUGUAGACCUGAUGCAGAGACCGGGAGGGGUGCCUGCAGAAAGAAAGCGGGAAGCCCCACAUCCACAGCUGAUUGACAGUGAGAAUGAGACGGCUGAAAAGAAGAGGCACCAUUCCACAUCAAAUGAAUGAUGGAGAGAGAAGCGUCACUGUCUAGAUAACUCCCCUAAUGGUCCAAAAUAACCCCUGCAAUCGGAUGGACAAAUAGGAACUUGAAUAUAAUGUCAAGAAAUCUGAGGUUUCCCUUCUCCUGAAUAUCUGGAUAAACAUGUCUCCCAUUCUCUACCCCAGAAUCAGACCCUGAGACAGAGAUUAGGGUGCAAGUUUAGUAGGGGGCGUAUUGGACUCUCUGGGGCUCCCUGGGAUCCCCUAUACUGGAAGGUAUAUCCAUCCUCCAGCUGUGAGUAUUGGCCGCCAACACUUCACAGUUGACCUCUGUUCUGGAGAAUUGCCUUUGGCCAAAUGGGCACUGCCUCAGCUUGGAGAUUAUAUGCUACCAUACCACUUCAGGGAAAGCCUCAGAAAAUGUCUAACUGAAGUAGGGAUUCCAAAGGCUGGCCCCCUUACCUGAAGGGGACACUAACUCUUUGUUACAAUCUGUGCUCUGGAAGUUCCCUCAGGGGAUUGGGCUGAAGCGAGGCUCCAGCCAGGACUGCAUCCUUGUUCAGCUCCUUUCCCUGCCCCAUCUUACAGCCCUGUCUCCUCUUCCCUGAGGACACUAUUCCACUAAAUCACGUGAACGAGACCCUUGUCUCAGGCUCUGCUUAUAGGGACCUCGCUGUGACAGGAGGUGAGGGAAACAUAGGUAGGUGAGUGGGGAAGUGAGAUAAGGAAGAAGACAAUAAAGGUAUGUUAUUAAGACAGUCACCACCGGAGGUGACUGGAAAUUAAUCCUGUGGCAAAACUGGAGGCCGAUGUAGAACACAGACCUCUGAAUUAUCCCAUCCAAUGGGCUGGGGUAUUUAUACACCAGUUCUCACCAGACAUUGGUCAAAAGCUGCCAGACUACAUCAACCCCGCAGCACUCCAGCCUGCCCAAGGUGGACAGGGAAGCCCUCCUAGGUUUCAGAGAAAGCCCUUGGGCUCCAAAGCUGGCAGUUGGAAGUCAGAUAACUGAGACUGAAGAGGGGAGGUAAUAUGGGCAGGGUAUAUGAAUUCUCAAUUCUAGCCCCAAAUUUCUGUCUGUUUAAUGAGUUCAAUGCAUGGACCUCUAAAACAUCUCUAUUCGAUGCCAUACUGACCCAAAUGGGCUUGAACCCCGCUCUGUUCACACACACACUCUCUCACACAGCAUUUAUAUAUAAGUUGGCUUCACCUAGGGCUCAGGUGAUUGAGAUAUUUACUUUGCUGAGAUACAUAUAUCUUCAAAGAUAACAUUGCACGUUUCUAUUCCUAAAAGUCUUUCAGCU